rnacentral:lncRNA from 1 species
GCAAAAUAUUUGUUCAAACAUUAAAAACUCAAGUAUUUUACUACACAAUUAUUUACAAAUUGAUGUGAUCAUCUACGUUAACAUAUCUCGUCACCGAAGAAAUAAUAUACAGAAAAUAAUGAAUAAUAGACAAUACAAAUAGCGAAUUGAGAUGGUUUUUGUAAAAUUUGAUGUAAAAAAUAAAGACGGACCCCACUCAGACCCCACACAAAAGACAAAAAUUUAAUACCUUCAACUAUGAGCAAACACAUACCGUCGAGUAAACCCAAGUUUGAGAAGAUGAGAAACUGAAUACGCUAAAUAAAACUAUCCAUGGAUUAAAAAUUAAGAUGAUUUUAUGUCAUUAUUAUUCACCUUUGUCCUUAAAAGGACAUGAUAUCCAAUAUCGACAUCAACAGCAGAGAAUUCAACUAAGGCAAACGCACAGAACUUGCAGUAAGGUGUGUUAUUUUUUGUCAUUUUGACCAUGCGAUGAAGAACAGCAAUAAAAAAAAUCACGGAAAUAAAACUUUAUUACAGAAAGAUCCAGCA